rnacentral:rRNA from 1 species
CCGCCGGCGACCGGCGCACGGGUGAGUAACACGUAUGCAACCUGGCCGUGACAGAUGGAUAACCGGGAGAAAUCCCGCCUAAUACAACAUAAUGCCGGGAGGGGACAUCCCCUGCCGGCCAAAGGGGGCGACCCCGGUCACGGAUGGGCAUGCGGCGCAUUAGGUAGUUGGUGGGGCAACGGCCCACCAAGCCGACGAUGCGUAGGGGUUCUGAGAGGAAGGUCCCCCACAUUGGAACUGAGACGCGGUCCAAACUCCUACGGAAGGCAGCAG